rnacentral:rRNA from 1 species
GAUGAACGCUGGCGGCGUGCCUAAUACAUGCAAGUCGAGCGAACAGACGAGGAGCUUGCUCCUCUGACGUUAGCGGCGGACGGGUGAGUAACACGUGGAUAACCUACCUAUAAGACUGGGAUAACUUCGGGAAACCGGAGCUAAUACCGGAUAAUAUAUUGAACCGCAUGGUUCAAUAGUGAAAGACGGUUUUGCUGUCACCUAUAGAUGGAUCCGCGCCGCAUUAGCUAGUUGGUAAGGUAACGGCUUACCAAGGCAACGAUGCGUAGCCGACCUGAGAGGGUGAUAGCCCACACUGGAACUGAGACACGGUCCAGACUCCUACGGGAGGCAGCAGUAGGGAAUCUUCCGCAAUGGGCGAAAGCCUGACGGAGCAACGCCGCGUGAGUGAUGAAGGUCUUCGGAUCGUAAAACUCUGUUAUUAGGGAAGAACAAAUGUGUAAGUAACUAUGCACGUCUUGACGGUACCUAAUCAGAAAGCCACGGCUAACUACGUG